rnacentral:rRNA from 1 species
CAGCACCUCAAGUGGUCAGGAUGAUUAUUGGGCCUAAAGCAUCCGUAGCUUGCUUUGUUAGUUUUCGGUUAAAUCCAUACGCUCAACGUAUGGGCUGCCGGGAAUACUACAAGGCUAGGGAGUGGGAGAGGUAGACGGUACUCGGUAGGAAGGGGUAAAAUCCUUUGAUCUAUUGAUGACCACCUGUGGCGAAGGCGGUCUACCAGAACACGUCCGACGGUGAGGGAUGAAAGCUGGGGGAGCAAACCGGAUUAGAUACCCGAGUAGUCC